UGUUAAAAGUUUUAUUCAUUUGUACUUUUAAUUACCGACAUAGUUGACAAAAUAACCCGAUAAUAACACGUGGGGUGUUAUGGAUAUGUCAUGCUAACGUAAAGAUCAGUUUUUAACAACAAAAAUAAAUAAAAUUCUAACA
rnacentral:pre_miRNA from 1 species